rnacentral:rRNA from 1 species
UACGUAGGGGGCAAGCGUUGUUCGGAAUUACUGGGCGUAAAGGGCGCGUAGGCGGCACGGCAAGUCAGGAGUGAAAGCCCUGGGCUCAACCCGGGAACUGCUUUUGAAACUGCCGAGCUAGAGUGCGGAAGGGGCAACUGGAAUUCCCAGUGUAGCGGUGAAAUGCGUAGAUAUCGGGAGGAACACCUAUGGCGAAGGCAGCUCGCUGGGACGUUACUGACGCUGAGACGCGAAAGCGUGGGGAGCAAACAGG